AGAGUUUGAUCCUGGCUCAGGAUUAACGCUAGCGGCAGGCCUAAUACAUGCAAGUCGAACGGUAACAGGUGUAGCAAUACAUGCUGACGAGUGGCGCACGGGUGAGUAACACGUAUGCAAUCUACCUUCAACUGGGGAAUAGCUCCUCGAAAGAGGAAUUAAUACCGCAUAACAUCAUGAGGCGGCAUCACCUUAUGAUUAAACCUUCGGGGGUUGAAGAUGAGCAUGCGUCCGAUUAGCUAGUUGGCGGGGUAACGGCCCACCAAGGCAACGAUCGGUAGGGGUUCUGAGAGGAAGAUCCCCCACACUGGUACUGAGACACGGACCAGACUCCUACGGGAGGCAGCAGUAAGGAAUAUUGGACAAUGGGCGAAAGCCUGAUCCAGCCAUGCCGCGUGCAGGAUGAAAGAGUUAUGCUCUGUAAACUGCUUUUACUCGGGAAAAACCCCUUCGAUUCUUCGAAGGCUGAUUGUACCGAGAGAAUAAGGGACGGCUAACUUCGUGCCAGCAGCCGCGGUAAUACGAAGGUCCCAAGCGUUAUCCGGAUUUAUUGGGUUUAAAGGGUGCGUAGGCGGGCUAUUAAGUCAGUGGUGAGAUCCUGUUGCCCAACAACAGAAUUGCCAUUGAUACUGAUGGUCUUGAGUACAUUUGAAGUGGGCGGAAUGUGUCAUGUAGCGGUGAAAUGCUUAGAUAUGACACAGAACACCGAUUGCGUAGGCAGCUCACUAAACUGUAACUGACGCUGAGGCACGAAAGCGUGGGGAGCAAACAGGAUUAGAUACCCUGGUAGUCCACGCCCUAAACGAUGAUCACUCGAUGUGCGCAAUACACCGUACGCGUCCGAGCGAAAGCAUUAAGUGAUCCACCUGGGGAGUACGGCCGCAAGGCUGAAACUCAAAGGAAUUGACGGGGGCCCGCACAAGCGGAGGAGCAUGUGGUUUAAUUCGAUGAUACGCGCGGAACCUUACCAGGGCUUGAAAGUUAGUGAAUGAUUUAGAAACAGGUCAGUCAGCAAUGACACGAAACUAGGUGCUGCAUGGCCGUCGUCAGCUCGUGCCGUGAGGUGUUGGGUUAAGUCCCGCAACGAGCGCAACCCCUAUCAUUAGUUGCCAUCAGGUUAUGCUGGGGACUCUAAUGAGACUGCCCGCGCAAGCGGUGAGGAAGGCGGGGAUGACGUCAGGUCAUCACGGCCCUUACGUCCUGGGCUACACACGUGCUACAAUGGCCGACACAACAGGCAGCUACACAGUAAUGUGAUGCUAAUCCCCAAAGUCGGUCUCAGUUCGGAUCGAGGUCUGCAACCCGACCUCGUGAAGCUGGAUUCGCUAGUAAUCGCAGAUCAGCCAUGCUGCGGUGAAUACGUUCCCGGGCCUUGUACACACCGCCCGUCAAGCGAUGGAAGUUGGGAGUACCUAAAGUCGGUUACCGCAAGGAGCUGCCUAGGGUAAAACCGAUAACUGGCGCUAAGUCGUAACAAGGUA
rnacentral:rRNA from 1 species